rnacentral:rRNA from 1 species
GGUUAAGCGACUAAGCGUACACGGUGGAUGCCUUGGCAGUCAGAGGCGAUGAAGGACGUGCUAAUCUGCGAUAAGCGUCGGUAAGGUGAUAUGAACCGUUAUAACCGGCGAUUUCCGAAUGGGGAAACCCAGUGUGUUUCGACACACUAUCAUUAACUGAAUCCAUAGGUUAAUGAGGCGAACCGGGGGAACUGAAACAUCUAAGUACCCCGAGGAAAAGAAAUCAACCGAGAUUCCCCCAGUAGCGGCGAGCGAACGGGGAGCAGCCCAGAGCCUGAAUCAGUGUGUGUGUUAGUGGAAGCGUCUGGAAAGGCGUGCGAUACAGGGUGACAGCCCCGUACACAAAAAUGCACAUGCUGUGAGCUCGAUGAGUAGGGCGGGACACGUGGUAUCCUGUCUGAAUAUGGGGGGACCAUCCUCCAAGGCUAAAUACUCCUGACUGACCGAUAGUGAACCAGUACCGUGAGGGAAAGGCGAAAAGAACCCCGGCGAGGGGAGUGAAAAAGAACCUGAAACCGUGUACGUACAAGCAGUGGGAGCACGCUUAGGCGUGUGACUGCGUACCUUUUGUAUAAUGGGUCAGCGACUUAUAUUCUGUAGCAAGGUUAACCGAAUAGGGGAGCCGAAGGGAAACCGAGUCUUAACUGGGCGUUAAGUUGCAGGGUAUAGACCCGAAACCCGGUGAUCUAGCCAUGGGCAGGUUGAAGGUUGGGUAACACUAACUGGAGGACCGAACCGACUAAUGUUGAAAAAUUAGCGGAUGACUUGUGGCUGGGGGUGAAAGGCCAAUCAAACCGGGAGAUAGCUGGUUCUCCCCGAAAGCUAUUUAGGUAGCGCCUCGUGAAUUCAUCUCCGGGGGUAGAGCACUGUUUCGGCAAGGGGGUCAUCCCGACUUACCAACCCGAUGCAAACUGCGAAUACCGGAGAAUGUUAUCACGGGAGACACACGGCGGGUGCUAACGUCCGUCGUGAAGAGGGAAACAACCCAGACCGCCAGCUAAGGUCCCAAAGUCAUGGUUAAGUGGGAAACGAUGUGGGAAGGCCCAGACAGCCAGGAUGUUGGCUUAGAAGCAGCCAUCAUUUAAAGAAAGCGUAAUAGCUCACUGGUCGAGUCGGCCUGCGCGGAAGAUGUAACGGGGCUAAACCAUGCACCGAAGCUGCGGCAGCGACGCUGAUGCGUUGUUGGGUAGGGGAGCGUUCUGUAAGCCUGCGAAGGUGUGCUGUGAGGCAUGCUGGAGGUAUCAGAAGUGCGAAUGCUGACAUAAGUAACGAUAAAGCGGGUGAAAAGCCCGCUCGCCGGAAGACCAAGGGUUCCUGUCCAACGUUAAUCGGGGCAGGGUGAGUCGACCCCUAAGGCGAGGCCGAAAGGCGUAGUCGAUGGGAAACAGGUUAAUAUUCCUGUACUUGGUGUUACUGCGAAGGGGGGACGGAGAAGGCUAUGUUGGCCGGGCGACGGUUGUCCCGGUUUAAGCGUGUAGGCUGGUUUUCCAGGCAAAUCCGGAAAAUCAAGGCUGAGGCGUGAUGACGAGGCACUACGGUGCUGAAGCAACAAAUGCCCUGCUUCCAGGAAAAGCCUCUAAGCAUCAGGUAACAUCAAAUCGUACCCCAAACCGACACAGGUGGUCAGGUAGAGAAUACCAAGGCGCUUGAGAGAACUCGGGUGAAGGAACUAGGCAAAAUGGUGCCGUAACUUCGGGAGAAGGCACGCUGAUAUGUAGGUGAAGCGACUUGCUCGUGGAGCUGAAAUCAGUCGAAGAUACCAGCUGGCUGCAACUGUUUAUUAAAAACACAGCACUGUGCAAACACGAAAGUGGACGUAUACGGUGUGACGCCUGCCCGGUGCCGGAAGGUUAAUUGAUGGGGUCAGCGCAAGCGAAGCUCUUGAUCGAAGCCCCGGUAAACGGCGGCCGUAACUAUAACGGUCCUAAGGUAGCGAAAUUCCUUGUCGGGUAAGUUCCGACCUGCACGAAUGGCGUAAUGAUGGCCAGGCUGUCUCCACCCGAGACUCAGUGAAAUUGAACUCGCUGUGAAGAUGCAGUGUACCCGCGGCAAGACGGAAAGACCCCGUGAACCUUUACUAUAGCUUGACACUGAACAUUGAGCCUUGAUGUGUAGGAUAGGUGGGAGGCUUUGAAGUGUGGACGCCAGUCUGCAUGGAGCCGACCUUGAAAUACCACCCUUUAAUGUUUGAUGUUCUAACGUGGACCCGUGAUCCGGGUUGCGGACAGUGUCUGGUGGGUAGUUUGACUGGGGCGGUCUCCUCCUAAAGAGUAACGGAG